AUGUGUGGCAGGGGUGUGUGUUUUGGCUUUUGUAUGAACUCAUUUCUUCAGCUGUGUCUCACUUUGUUUUCCUUUGCGAUUGUAGUCACCAGAAUGUCAAUUCUGUGCGCUGUCAACAAAGCACUAAAACAGUGUGAGGUUGAAGAGACUCGCUCCAACGACAACAUUUUCCUAUGCAGAGAUCUACUUACACAUAUGAAAAUUCCUGACAUCCAUUCGAGAGAGACAGAAAGACAGUUAAAUACAGCCAAAGAGGAUUCAUUGGAAAUUUCUCCUGAGGGGAAACAAGAGCUGGAGCAGUUGGAAAAGCUGCUGGAAAAGGCAUUCAGGGUACGGAGCACGUUGGCCACGCAUGCAGACUCAAAACCCACUACUGGAAAGGGAAAAGGGAGGUCUUCUUCCCUGGUAAAUGGCCACAGCAAAUCUAUCGACAAAGACAGCUUUGACAAAAGACCUACCCAGGUGACAAAGGUACCACCUCAGGUCAAAGCUAUACGAGGGAUCCCUGGAACUCAAGGGCAAACAACCAGGGGUGGCCUGUUGACAGGGCCUGCCAAAAGAAAGACCCUUAAGUCAGGAGAAAGUCCACCUCUCAACUCAAUUAGACAAACUAAAGUUUCAUUUGACAAAACUUCUACUCAGGAUGUAGUUACUAAAAUCAAACAAGAGGAUCAACAGAAAACCCCUUCCUCUGGUGAUGAUCUGUGUAGGGCCAUGACGCCCAAACCUCCCAAUUCUGACUUUAAGGCCAUUCUAGAAGAGAUGUGGAUUCCAUCUCCUCUCCUGCAACCUUGGACAACACUGAGGAGCAAACAGAGCAGGUUAUGGGACAAGGUGUUGACCAAGGGUACACAGGUUGUUCCUGAGAAGAUGCACUUUACCCAGAAGCUGCAAAGUACUUUCCCUGUGGAGAUGCUUCCUGGUGCACCUGCUGAUGCCAGUUCUGGGAUGCGUUUCCUCACUGAGCUAGGCAGGGCAGCGGCAGAUUUACCAAUAGGCAAUGUACUCGAUGAGUACUGUGGAUGGAAGCCUGGAGUGUUGUGUCCAGUCAGUAGGAGAGGAGCCUGGGGAGAUCCGCUGAGACCCCACCUGCCUCCUGCUGUGUGUUACCACCGCCAGGCUGAACUGCAGGAGGUGGCACACCUGAGCCUGAGGGUGCAGGUACUACAGCAGGAGACCCUGCUCCAGCAGGUUCUAAGAGAUCUCCUCUGCUCUGGUCCUCCUUCUCCCUGCUCUGCUGCUCACCUCAGGGGACAGUACUCUCUCAUGGGGGAGGGAGGGUUGCAUUUCCCCACACUUGUAAUGGACACUGAGCCAGAGUGAACAUGGAGUUACUUCAGCAGUCCAGAAGAGGAUGCCUGAUGUGUGAAGGGUGUUCUCUACUGAGCAACUAGUCUCUCCACUAGUUUCCUUUCUGCCACUUGUGUCUUUUGGGAUAGUUGUUUGCAAGAUGUAUCUUUUGUUAAUUUUAUGUAUUAGAAAAUAAGCUGUCUGUGCCUCUAGCAGGCCGACAGAUGCAGAGUUUAAAUCAUGUUAUUUAAUUUGUUUGAAUAUUAAUAACAUUUGAUGAGGGUAAUAAUGUGUGGGACUCCAUGCCUGUUUAGACCGACAGAGUUUGUAUCAUGUUAUUUAAUUUAUUUGAACAUUAGUAACAAAAGAUUCAAGUAAAUAAUGCAUGGGAAUUCAUGCCUGUGUGGAGUGUUGCAGACCCUCUCGCCAGCAGAGGGAGCCAUCUUAAAACAGUCUGACCUGCCUUGACGUUACAUACACACACACACACAGCCUCAGAUUGUUGGAUAGUAUAGAAUAUUUAUUUUCAAAUAAAAUGUCACCUUUUUUUUUUACGUCA
rnacentral:lncRNA from 1 species